CCCGAUGCGUGACCAUCGGUAGUCUAGAGCGGCGUGCGUUUCCGGCAACGGAGGGGUGCGAAGCCCGCUUGAAUAAGUCUCCCUUUUUGGUGCGCCAAGGCCGUGAGGUUUUGCGCAGAUUCUGGCAGCAGCAGGCUGGAUGAGAGG
rfam:Arenimonas metalli CF5-1 contig7, whole genome shotgun sequence.